CUACGGAGGGUGCAAGCGUUACUCGGAAUCACUGGGCGUAAAGCGCGCGCAGGCGGCUAUUUAAGUUGGAUGUGAAAGCCUACGGCUCAACCGUAGAACUGCAUCCAAAACUAUUUAGCUAGAGUGUGGGAGAGGAAGAUGGAAUUAGUUGUGUAGGGGUAAAAUCCGUAGAGAUAACUAGGAAUACCAAAAGCGAAGGCAAUCUUCUGGAACACUACUGACGCUGAGGCGCGAAAGCGUGGGGAGCAAACGGGAUUAGAAACCCCAGUAGUCC
rnacentral:rRNA from 1 species